GUCUGCAACCCGACUACAUGAAGCUGGAAUCGCUAGUAAUCGCGAAUCAGAAUGUCGCGGGUGAAUACGUUCCCGGGUCUUGUACACACCGCCCGUCACACCAUGGGAGUCGGAAAUGCCCGAAGUCAGUGACCCAACCACAACGUGAACUUCGUUCGCGUGGAGGGAGCUGCCGAAGGUGGAGCCGGUAACUGGGGUGAAGUCGUAACAAGGUACC
rnacentral:rRNA from 1 species